rnacentral:rRNA from 1 species
UAGGGAAUAUUGGUAAUGUGCGAAAGCGCGAACCAGCAACGCCGCGUGCACGAUGAAGGCCUUCGGGUCGUAAAGUGCUUUUAGAGAGGAUGAGGAAGGACAGUACUUUCUGAAUAAGCCUCGGCUAACUACGUGCCAGCAGCCGCGGUAAAACGUAGGAGGCUAGCGUUAUCCGGAUUUACUGGGCGUAAAGCGCAUGCAGGUGGUUUUGUAAGUUGGAUGUGAAAGCUCCUGGCUUAACUGGGAGAGGUCGUUCAAAACUACAAGACUUGAGAUUGGUAGAGNAAAAUGGAAUUCCGGGUGUAGUGGUGAAAUGCGUAGAUAUCCGGAGGAACACCAGUGGCGAAAGCGGUUUUCUGGACCAAUUCUGACACUCAGAUGCGAAAGCUAAGGUAGCAAACG